rnacentral:rRNA from 1 species
CAGCCGCCGCGGUAAUACAGAUGGUGCAAGCGUUAAUCGGAAUUACUGGGCGUAAAGCGCGCGUAGGUGGUUUGUUAAGUUGGAUGUGAAAUCCCCGGGCUCAACCUGGGAACUGCAUCCAAAACUGGCAAGCUAGAGUAUGGUAGAGGGUGGUGGAAUUUCCUGUGUAGCGGUGAAAUGCGUAGAUAUAGGAAGGAACACCAGUGGCGAAGGCGACCACCUGGACUGAUACUGACACUGAGGUGCGAAAGCGUGGGGAGCAAACAGGAUUAGAUACCCCCGUAGUCCCUGUCUCUUAUAC